CCGGAAUCGACUGCCGUAUCUCCUACUGUGUCAUCACUUAUUGGACCGAAGAAGUCCGAUGACUCACUGCUCUCUUUCAAUUCUCUGAAACACUUCUAUAAGGUUGUUGGUCGAAAGAACUUCCAGUUGCUCGCAAAAACGUGCUUGUCGGCAACCAGUUGAUUGUGAGAGGAUCCAUCAAGCCACUUGUGGUGUCUGCUGUGCAGACCUUACAGGUAAUCAAAUGAAAUAAAUUAAACACAUAGAGAGAUACUUGGGUAGGCCCAACAUUACCAAGAAUAUUUAGUCACAGCAGGUUGC